AUUGAACGCUGGCGGCAGGCCUAACACAUGCAAGUCGGACGGUAGCACAGAGGAGCUUGCUCCUUGGGUGACGAGUGGCGGACGGGUGAGUAAUGUCUGGGGAUCUGCCCGAUAGAGGGGGAUAACCACUGGAAACGGUGGCUAAUACCGCAUAACGUCGCAAGACCAAAGAGGGGGACCUUCGGGCCUCUCACUAUCGGAUGAACCCAGAUGGGAUUAGCUAGUAGGCGGGGUAAUGGCCCACCUAUGCGACGAUCCCUAGCUGGUCUGAGGGGCUGACCAGCCACACUGGAAAUGAGACACGGUCCAGACUCCUACGGGAGGCAGCAGUGGGGAAUAUUGCACAAUGGGCGCAAGCCUGAUGCAGCCAUGCCGCGUGUAUGAAGAAGGCCUUCGGGUUGUAAAGUACUUUCAGCGGGGAGGAAGGCGGUGAGGUUAAUAACCUCGCCGAUUGACGUUACCCGCAGAAGAAGCACCGGCUAACUCCGUGCCAGCCGCCGCGGUAA
rnacentral:rRNA from 1 species